rnacentral:rRNA from 1 species
UACGUAGGGGGCUAGCGUUGUCCGGAUUUAUUGGGCGUAAAGAGCGUGUAGGCGGCCAGAUAGGUCUGCUGUGAAAACUCGAGGCUCAACCUCGAGCUGUCGGCGGAAACCAUCCGGCUAGAGUCCGGAAGAGGAGAGUGGAAUUCCCGGUGUAGCGGUGAAAUGCGCAGAUAUCGGGAAGAACACCUGUGGCGAAGGCGGCUCUCUGGGACGGUACUGACGCUGAGACGCGAAAGCGUGGGGAGCAAACAGG